AGUGAACGCUGGCGGUAGGCCUAACACAUGCAUGUCGAACGGCAGCACAGUAAGAGCUUGCUCUUACGGGUGGCGAGUGGCGGACGGGUGAGGAAUACAUCGGAAUCUACUUUUUCGUGGGGGAUAACGUAGGGAAACUUACGCUAAUACCGCAUACGACCUACGGGUGAAAGCAGGGGAUCUUCGGACCUUGCGCGAUUGAAUGGGCCGAUGUCGGAUUAGCUAGUUGGCGGGGUAAAGGCCCACCAAGGCGACGAUCCGUAGCUGGUCUGAGAGGAUGAUCAGCCACACUGGAACUGAGACACGGUCCAGACUCCUACGGGAGGCAGCAGUGGGGAAUAUUGGACAAUGGGCGCAAGCCUGAUCCAGCCAUACCGCGUGGGUGAAGAAGGCCUUCGGGUUGUAAAGCCCUUUUGUUGGGAAAGAAAAGCAGCAGGUUAAUACCCCGCUGUUCUGACGGUACCCAAAGAAUAAGCACCGGCUAACUUCGUG
rnacentral:rRNA from 1 species